UGGCGGCGAUAGCGCGGUGGUCCCACCUGACCCCAUGCCGAACUCAGAAGUGAAACGCCGUAGCGCCGAUGGUAGUGUGGGGCUUCCCCAUGUGAGAGUAGGGAACUGCCA
rnacentral:rRNA from 6 species